rnacentral:rRNA from 1 species
ACGCUCGACACCUACUGGAGGCAGCAGUGGGGAAUAUUGGGCAAUGGGCGAAAGCCUGACCCAGCAACGCCGCGUGAGGGAAGAAGGUUUUCGGAUUGUAAACCUCUGUCCUCAGGGACGAAGGACGUGACGGUACCUGAGGAGGAAGCCCCGGCUAACUACGUGCCUGCAGCCGCGGUAAUCUGAGCGGGCUGGCAAGGC